rnacentral:rRNA from 1 species
UAAGGAAUAUUGGUCAAUGGACGAAAGUCUGAACCAGCCAUGCCGCGUGGAGGAUGAAGGUCCUCUGGAUUGUAAACUUCUUUUAUCUGGGACGAAAAAGGGUCUUUCUAGACCAACUGACGGUACCAGAUGAAUAAGCACCGGCUAACUCCGUGCCAGCAGCCGCGGUAAUACGGAGGGUGCAAGCGUUAUCCGGAUUCACUGGGUUUAAAGGGAGCGUAGGUGGGUUGGUAAGUCAGUGGUGAAAUCUCUGAGCUUAACUCGGAAACUGCCAUUGAUACUAUCAAUCUUGAAUACCGUGGAGGUCAGCGGAAUAUGUCAUGUAGCGGUGAAAUGCUUAGAUAUGACAUAGAACACCAAUUGCGAAGGCAGCUGGCUACACGAAUAUUGACACUGAGGCUCGAAAGCGUGGGGAUCAAACAGG